UCCCUGGUGGUUCAGUGGUCAGGACUUUGCACUUCCACUGCAAGGGGUGCAGAUUCUAUCCACGGAA
rnacentral:tRNA from 1 species